AGGACAAAGGCACCUCAGUGUGAAUGAAUGGGACAUCACUAUGAAUCACCAUAGGGCUCUGGAGAAAAGUAGUGCACUAUUUAGGGAAAAGGGUGCCAUUUGGGACAAUACCCUAGAUAUAAAAGCAGGAAGAUGAGGUUACUGGGACUGUAGUGGAGGUUACUGGGACUGUACUGUUAGUGGAGGUUACUGGGACUGUAGUGGGGGUUACUGGGACUGUAGUGGAGGUUACUGGGACUGUACUGUUAGUGGAGGUUACUGGGACUGUAGUGGAGGUUACUGGGACUGUAGUGGAGGUUACUGGGACUGUAGUGGAGGUUACUGGGACUGUAGUGGAGGUUACUGGGACUGUAGUGGACGUUACUGGGACUGUAGUGGAGGUUACUGGGACUGUAGUGUAGAUUACUGGGACUGUAGUGGAGGUUACUGGGACUGUACUGUUAGUGGAGGUUACUGGGACUGUAGUGGAGGUUACUGGGACUGUACUGCUACUCAACAGAGUUCUAGAGGUUGUGAGUAGGCUUGCUUUCCAUAUACUGCUCAAUAUCCAGAUAAGAGACUAGAUUACAGGC
ensembl:lncRNA